AUCUGACUGAUCAGAAUUCUUUUUGAAAGCACAAGUAAAAUCAGUAUUAUACUCUGCUUUAAAGUCAAUCAUGCUAUGAAACUUCAACAUUUGAAUCAAACAAGAAAUCAUCAGCUCAUCAUGGCUCACGCAUGAUUCAAUCUUCCAAAGGAAGAAAGAACAAGAAGACAUUUUUAAGCAGCAUGUUCUUUCCUUCCUGUCAGACAUGCUUGCAUAUCAGUUAAACGAGCUAUUCUACUAAGACUUCAUUCGACUAGGUAACAAUACACUGUAUAUCAGUUAUCGUCAGGUG
rnacentral:misc_RNA from 1 species